AAAAAAAAUCAUGUGGAGGCACUGCAGAAAAUAUUUUUUGUGGAUAUUUUAUUAUUACUAUUACUAUUACUAUUACUAUUACUAUUACUAUUAUUACUAUUAUUAUUUUAAUUAUUUUUUUGUCAGGCUAAGUGGUCCUUCAAGACUCAAAGGCUGAGAAGUGCCAGUCUGUGCUUGGAAAUGGGAGAUGGAGACACACCUAAGUGUGAUGGUGUGCCUGGCUGCAACCUGGGGAGCAUGGCUGGACUCCCACAGCUGGGUGUGUGAGCAUUUCACAGAUUCCAUACGGAGAGGUUCUGCUUGGAAAGUACCAAAAGGAAAUGACAUUUCUUCCUUCUGACACUGGAACUCUUUUGUUGGAGCAGAAGUUGCUCAUCUUCCAUUGGAG
rnacentral:lncRNA from 1 species